UUAGAAUUAACCGAUUCACUUGAAUGAACUGAACUUUCCAACGCUACAAAGAGAGAGGAACGUUGAGGUGAGUGUCUGAGAUGCAGUGUUACCUGGCUGCGUGCGACUCCGAUGCAGCUUCCCAUCCUGUAUUCCAUGUCCUCCUGAGGAGAGGUGACAGAAGCACUACAAGGCUUGCAAAAAUAGUCUCUCCAGGAUUGCAUCCCCACUACAAAGAAAUGGCAUCGCUGAGCAAUGCAAGCAGGGUGUGAGCAACGAUGCUAUAAGAUGCUGCUCUGCAAGUGGGUAAAAAGCCCCUCUGUUAUCAACAGCGACCGUCACACAAGCAGGGAGAGGAGGGGGAGGACAGAAAAUACAGAAGCCAGAUGAGAACGAGAAAAUAAAAGAACAGAGCAUCUGCAAGUUUAAAAGAGCAACAGCUGCAGGCAUGACGACACGGUACUGAACAUCAAAAGAAAAUCACCAGAGGAAAAGUGAUGGAGCCACUCAAGUGAAAUGGGACAGUGGCAGAAAAUAAAAGGAGAGUCAGGAUGAGAUAGAUUAAGCUUUAUGAAGAUUGAUGGACUGCAUUUAAAAUAUUCAUUCUUUAACUGGCAUUAAAGUCAGCAUCUAUAUCUAUCAUAAUAAGUCCAUAAAAAAUGUAUACUAUAAAAAUGUCAUAACAUUUUCUUAUUGAGCCAAUCAUAUUCAGAUCUGCCUCCAUUCAACACAAUCCAAUCAACAACCAGUGGAUAAGAUCGAGCCAG